rnacentral:piRNA from 1 species
GGAAUAUCGUUUUCCCUCAAGAGUGCCAU